AGUUCAGUUCCUUGCUAAAGCUAGAGAAGAGUGGAUGGUGCUCUAGGCUGGUUGCUGGGACUCCACAAGGACAAGGCCUGGAGUCAACCUUCUACAUUGAAGCAGCAUGGAGGAGUGAAUAGGGCACUGGAUUGUGAAUAAAGACUUGGAUUAUAUUCCUGCUGCGCUACUGACUGCUGUGCAAUGUUAGAACAUGGUGCCAGAAAGUGUCCAGACUGCAAUUCUGCUACUUAGAUGUACACUACAAAAAAGGCACUGAGAUGUAUAUAGCUGAGUUCUUAACCAGAGCAGCCUUGCAACAUGAAAAUGUGGCAACUGAAUAAUAGGAGACCCUCAAUCUGAUAGAAGUACAGAAAACAGUCAGAUAUAGAAAACCACUUCAUCCAAGCUCCAGUUCAAGGAAGGAGCUAGAAGGAAUCCAAGAACAAAUUAAACAAGGCAGAGAUUUACAAGUGCUCAUGUACGUCAUCGUGUCAGGAUGCCCAGACACUUGGGGAGAGGCCCCGCCUGCUUCCCAGAAAUACUACACCAAUCAAGAUGAGCUGACCAUUCAAGGUAACAUCAUAUGUAAGGGAUUCAAAUCUUAGCAUCCAGAUAUCUGAGAACAGAAAGCCUCUCAAGAAUACCUCUGAACCAUUCUGGAACAGAAGCAUGACCAAACCAGAGACACCUUAUACUGGCCAAACACGACCAAGGAUGUCAGAGACCUGAUGAGCAGUUGUCAUAUAUGGGGGGAAAUGCAGGCUAAGGAGCAAAAGGAGACAGUGACAAUAUGCAGCAUUCCUAAAAACUCCUGAGCAAAGACAAAGGACCUUUUCACCACAAACCACUUCAUUAUUGUGGACUACUAUUCAGACUUCUGGGAACUAGAUGAAGUGUCAGACGCUACCAUAGCAGCCAUCAUAGACAAAGCAAUGAAGCAUUUCAAUUGGCAAAAUGUCCAAAACUCUGUAGUUUCUGACAACAGACCCCAGUUCACUUGCUGUGCAUUUGUGCCAUUUACCAGGGAAUUCAGUCGCAUCACAUCUGUACCAUACUACAGCCAGUCAAAUAGCAAAGCUGAAUCAGCAGUUACAUUCUUUGAUAAAUUGCUAAGACUCUAAGCCAUUUUUGAAUGGAAAAACAUCCCAUGGAAGGCAUUGACAGCAGCCUAGGACAAUGCUUGAUAUUAAGACACCUGUUUAGCUUGGUGCCUAUGGCACCAGCAUUGCCACAACUGGCAGUGUUGGAAGGAGCAACAGACAAAAGAGAAGAGAGACGACAUACCAAUGACUGAAAAGCUAAAGGCCUCCCAGGACUACAAACAGGAGACCCUAUUUUUCUAAGGACAAAUCACACACUUGGAAGCAUGAUGAGUCACUGUCUGACUUCUAAAUUGACAAGUGUUUGUGAAAGCAGCAAGACAUGUAUAUGUAAUAGUUAUAAGUGCCCAGGACAGGGUUAUCUACUGAGAACAUCUAAAUGGCCAUCUGGUCUGAGAAACUGCUCCAGUAGAUAUUAGGCUGUUCAAUCACUAAUCAAGCUCUGAAAUGCAUUACUUUUAAACUGCAAGACCCUAUUGUCUAUGCAGUAUUUUGUGGGGAGUUGUCUAUUAGGGCUCCCAUUUUGGGACUAUUAUGCAAAUAUGCACAUCUACAUGGAAAUUUUUCUCUGGGUUUUUGCUGAGCCAAUGACUUCAGUCAGACUAGUUGCAUAUGGAUAUGGAGAGUCAGGCCACAAUGAAUGAACAGAAAACUUUCCAUGGCAUGUAACAAGGAUUAUGGGAGUGCAGGUACUUCAUGAAGGCAGGGAGUUUUAAGACAAUGUCUUUACACACCUGCUUUCAGACAGUAAAAUCCCUAGUUGUGGAAAAGUCCACAGAACUUGACCCAGCUAGGAAAUAGCUGCUCAGGCCCAAUAACUGUGGAUUGCUGUGGAUGAGAGUUAUCAAUCACCUACUCUUAGUACAAUGAUAGGCAAUUCUUCAAGAAACCUCUCUUUCAGACUCUCUAAAAUGGGAGAGCUGCAUAUCAAAUGGGCACACUGAUGACCUGGAUUCUGAGUAUGUCACAGGUCUGUCAGUUCUCUUGCCUGGGGUGGGCUGUAUUCCAUGGAAGGAAUAGUCAUUUUUCAGUCAGCCCACUACAUUUCCUCACUUCUUCUUUCUCUGAAGAUGAUGAUCUUUCCCUAGCAAGCUUCACUUACAAAAACAGCUUCUUGUUCACCACACAGAUUUUUCCCAGGCUCUCUCUGCUCUAGUCAAAAUACAUGCAGGCAAGCUAACUAGACUGCACUUCUGGCUCUUUUCUUCCUAUGUGACCUAAGUUAGUCCCUAGCUAUACUUUUCUCAGUGCUACAAUGUAGUCCAGGCAAUUUAUAUGCUGUUUUCUGGUAUGUUUGGUUUCCAUUAGAGAAACUCAAGCAACAGUUCGGAUUGGUGCCUUAUAAUUUUACCAGAGAAAAAGACCAAGGAUACCUUUUAAAUCACAUAUAUGCGUGUAAGCUGCUUGCAUAUGGAUGCAUUUAAACUUUUAAAGAGCUAGAUGUGUCUUCACAGCAUGAAUGUGUUACUAUGGCAACAGCACUAUUUAGCCUGAUGCCUUUUGACAUUAUUAAUACAAUGGCUUAAGGUGAUUUUUUUUCCAUACAAAAUGUUACCCCACAGAUACCAAAAAAAAUUAAACAUUUGGGGCCAGAUUCUGUUCAUUUACGCAGGUGCAUCCUAUAUUCAGCAGAGGAGUUUGCUUAUGUCUCACUGAGAGCAUAACUUGGCCCUUCAAGCCUAUUAUUAUUAUAAAUGAGGGUAAGUGGGAAAACUUCUAUUAAAGAGGCCAAAAUAUUUGUUUCAUGUUUAUAAAACAAAAACAGAUCCCCAAGUUCCAUGUAGAAAGUGAAAUAUUUCACACAGAUUUAAUGGAAGUUAUUUGUUAUUAGGU